UACAGAGGUCCCGAGCGUUUGUUCGGAUUCAUUGGGCGUAAAGGGUGCGUAGGCGGCGGGGCAAGUCUGAUGUGAAAUCCCGGGGCUCAACCCCCGGAACUGCAUUGGAUACUGCCUUGCUAGAGUACUGGAGAGGGAACUGGAAUUUACGGUGUAGCAGUGAAAUGCGUAGAGAUCGAUAGGAAGGCCGUGGCGAAGGCGAGUUCCUGGACAGUUACUGACGGCUGAGGCACGAAGGCCAGGGGAGCAAACGGG
rnacentral:rRNA from 1 species